rnacentral:rRNA from 1 species
AGUGAACGCUGGCGGCAGGCCUAACACAUGCAAGUCGAACGGCAGCACAGUAAGAGCUUGCUCUUACGGGUGGCGAGUGGCGGACGGGUGAGGAGUACAUCGGACUCUACUUUUUCGUGGGGGAUAACGUAGGGAAACUUACGCUAAUAUCGCAUACGACCUACGGGUGAAAGCAGGGGAUAUUCGGACCUUGCGCGAUUGAAUGAGCCGAUGUCGGACUAGCUAGUUGGCGGGGUAAUGGCCCACCAAGGCGACGAUCCGUAGCUGGUCUGAGAGGAUGAUCAGCCACACUGGAACUGAGACACGGUCCAGACUCCUACGGGAGGCAGCAGUGGGGAAUAUUGGACAAGGGGCGCAAGCCUGAUCCAGCCAUACCGCGUGGGUGAAGAAGGCCUUCGGGUUGUAAAGCCCUUUUGUUGGGAAAGAAAAGCAGCAGGUUAAUACCCCGCUGUUCUGACGGUACCCAAAGAAUAAGCACCGGCUAACUUCGUG